CCGAGGGCACUGAGCCUGCCAAAACAGCCCCGAUCGCCAGGGCUUGGGCACUGCACUGCUAAAGCCGGCCCCGAGCUCCAGCCCUCUCCUUUCCGGAGCACCGAGGAUGACACCAACCCCAGCUGUAACACACAGGCACAACAUCCAGCAGCUGAGGAGGCUUAAAUCCCUUACAGGUGACAGUUCUGUAAGUCUUGGACCCCAAGGAUUGAAAUGAAAACUGAACUCAGCCUUGCAGGUCCAGCCUUGGCAGAGUGUGUGUGUUCCAGUGCCAGACACGGGACUCCUGCACUUUGUCCUGCUCUGCCUCACCAGAUUCCCUCUGAACAGGCACUGGUGAAUAGUCAAAACCAGAGCAAGGGCUCAAAAAGCAAGUGCAAGUCUCUGCCAGGAUGAGGGAACCACAGUGAGGAUCUGAGAGGAUGUGGAGGUUUUUCUCCUCAGGAGUCAGCAGCCAGCUCUUGCAGAUCACUACAGAGAAUUAACAAUUCUGCAUCUGCCUUCUGUCUCUUCCCUCCAGCUCUCAGCUGCUGGGGCUGCUGAUGGAGAAUCUCAUGGACUUUAUUCUGAACACUCUUAAAGAUCAGACCUACAAAAGCUAAACACACCAUCCAUCAAGAAAAUCAAACCCAGUUCUCCACUACCCAGAAGGAGAAGGAAACACCAAUGGUCAGGAGGAAUCCAAAGCUCCUUCCAGUAAGUUUCCAGAUGACAGAACAGUCCUGACUGCUGGGGACCCUCUUCUUCAAGGUAUCACAGGAUCACAGAAUGGUUUGGUUGAGAGGGACCCAAAGCUCAUCCAGUUCUCCCAUCUCCAGCAGCCGCUAGCAUCCAUCCACCCUGCCCCAGCCACCGACAGCAGGGAUCGAUUCCCAGAUCCACUGCAGUGCAAUUCCCACUGCAGCAGAAAUCAGCACCAGAGCCACCCCAAACCAAACCUAUCUGCACUGGCAGAUCUGCUGCUGGGACACUUCAGAGCUUGUCUGGGUGGGUUCAGCCAGUGAAGGGCAGUGACUAAACCUCUUCAGCAAGAUGAUCCCUCUGCUGAAGAGUAAGAGAUGAAGAGGAGUUCCCUGGACAAAGGGAUAGAAAGUCCUGGAUGAAGGGAUAGAAAGUCCUGGAUGAAGGGAUAGAAAGUACCCUCAGCAAGUUUUCCCCUCAGUACAAGACAGACAAGGAGCUACAGGAGGGGAUCCAGCAGAGGCCACAGAGAUGAUGAAGGGCCUGGAGCAUCUCUGAUGAGGAGACACUGCGGGAGCUGAGGCUGGUUCGUCCAGAGAAGGCUGAGAGGGGAUCUCAUCAAUGCACAUAAAUGUCUCCAAGGGGUUUCAGACUCUUUUUGUAGUGUUCAGCAACAGGACAAGGAGCAACAGCCAUAAACAAAAACUCAAGAUGUUUCACCACAGCAUGGGGAAGAGUUUUCAAUGGAAACUCUGGAACAGCUGCCCAGGGAGGGUGUGGAGUCUCCUUCUCUGGACAUUCCAAGGCCACCUGGGAGCAUUCCCAUGUUCCCUGCCCCAGGUGACCCUGCCUUAGCAGGGGGGUUGGACUGGGUGAUCUCCAGAGGUCUCUUCCAACCCCAACCAUUCUGGGAAUCUCUUGAAGGCACCGAGAUCUCCUUGGCCUUGUUUCUCUGCCCUGUCUCAGAACAGAGCAUCCCCAAGUUGGAAGAGUUUUCAGACUAAAACUCCAGGAAAAAAGCACAGCUUUAAAACUGAUCUGGCUGAGGGGGAAAAACAGCAUCAUCGUAUUUAUCCCAGCCAACCCCUUUCCAAGCAUGUGGGGCGAUUCAACCCCACAAAUCUUUUCAAGUAUUUCCUUCUGUCUUGCUGGAUGUGACAGCAUUUUAGCAGCCCACAGCAGAUCAUUUCCAUCAGCAAAACCGAGCAGAGCUGUGGUGUCACCGCCCCUGAAGACACUCAUGGCUGUGCUGUGGCUUCCCUCCAGUGGCACGAGCAGUCAGCUGCAGCUGUCCUGGGAGACCUCUUCAGGAGAUGAGACACUGAACUACUCACCAAAAAAUGACAUUUUAUUGUUCACUGCUUCCAGCCUCACUCCAAAUAUUUUUUAUGUUAAUUUUUACAACAAACCUGCAUUUACAUAACAUUUUCCUGUCAUUUCCCCCACUUAUAUUUGAAAUGUCCAGGACUAUAUCUGCUUGAUUUAUUCUUGUUUUGCUGCACUGGAGAUGUGGCUAGAAGGUAAUAUUCAUCCACAAACUUAAACAUGACACAAUAUAUGAUAGUCCAGAACUACCUCAAUUCCUGUCUAAGGCUUUGUUAUUUUAAUUGUUGAUGAAGUACAAAAGUUCCCAUUUCUCUGUCAGCAACUCUUAGAUUUGAAGUGACACUGGGUUUGAGUUCUACAUCCAGAAGAAACAGGAAACUUUAAAAUGCAGCUCAUUUUUCAAUUUUAUUAAGAAUAAAAGUUUAUUAAAAUAAAAUUUUGAAAUUCCAUUGAAAUGAAAAAUCAGCCACAGGGCACAAACUUUCCACUUGCUCCUACCAGGGCCAUUAGGACUCAAUAGCCAAUAUUUUUUUAUCUGUUUAUUUUUUUCUUUUUAUUUUUUUCUUAUUAAAAUCAAAUAAAA